GACGAACGCUGGCGGCGUGCCUAAUACAUGCAAGUCGAACGCUUCUUUCCUCCCGUUUUCUUGCACUCAAUUGGAACGAGGAGUGGCGUACCGGUGAGUAACACUUCCGUAACCUACCCAUCAGAGGGGGAUAACACUUGCAAAUAGGUCCUAAUACCGCUUAACACUUUAUGCCGGAUUGCAUGAGAGUGUAACAUGCCUUAGGGCUGCGCUCGUGGAUUGUUCCGCGGUGAAUUAGCUAGUUGGUGAGGUAACGGCUCACAAAGGCCACGUAGCAAAGCGGACCGAGGAGGGUGAUCGGCAAAAUGGGAACUGGAACACGGCCCAGACUCCUACGGGAGGAAGCAGUAGGGAAUCUUCGGCAAUGGAGGAAAGUCUGACCGAGCACCGCCGCGUGAGUGAGGAAGGUUUUCGGAUCGUAAAACUCUGUUGUUAGGGAAGAACAAGGACGGUAGUAACUGAACGUCACCUGACGGUAUCUAACCAGAAAGCCACGGCUAACUACGUG
rnacentral:rRNA from 1 species